UGCUAGGAGUGCAGUUAUUUCUCUACCAACCUCAGCGGGACCAGUUUGCUGAAGUUAAUGAUACCGCAAAGAUCCGCUGUUUAUCCAAAUUAAAAAUGGAAGCAGGAGACGUGUUUUGGUAUCUGAGAAGAGAAGGAGAGACACCCAUCCGCAUUAAGUACUGUUUGGAUAAUCUCAAUGCAAGUAAAUUUGCUUGCAAACAUGAGACACACAGCUCGACACUGGAAAUUAGCAACAUCCAACAGAAUGAUGCUGGUGUUUAUUAUUGUGCAUAUAUCCACAGCAGCUACCUGAUUUUUGGGAAUGGAUCCACUCUGAUUGUUGGAG